AAGCAGCCAACAACUUCCGUUCGUCUUCGACCUCCGAACUCUGACGCUAUUGGUCGAGAGAGGCACGCGCAACAUCAGGACGGCAUCCUCGAUGGUUCCAAUUUCCAGCCCAUUCCCCAAUUUUCAACCCCAAUGACAGACAACACACGCAGGAAUGGCUGUUUAGCUAAAGAAGGGAAUUGUUUCACUUCCUGUGCUACCCAAAGAAUGGAGCGAGGCCGACACUGCACAGCCUGGCAGAGAGAAGAGAGGGAGCGAGGAGAUAGAGAGACAGACUGAGUAAGUCACAUGAAGAUGAAGACUGUAGGAAAGUAAACAGAGCAGAGGAAGGGGAGAGAAAAAGGAGAAAAGAGGAGGGGGGAAAUCUCUAGCUAGAUCUAAGGUGCACAGACAUGAAGGCACAUACGUCCUUUAUCCACCUAAUAUAGAACAUGACAUGUGGUUUACAAAGGAAAUGAAAGGAUUUUGGACCCGGACUUCUCCUGCUGGCUGAGCUCUUCUCAGGUAAAGGCUGAAACUGCAGAGCAACAAACCAAACUCAAGUCACAAAUGCAAUAAUGCAUAACUCAAUCAUUGCUGCGAUGUUAUCGAAAGACACAAUUUGGCAUCGCUGUUUUCCCCUAAAUCGAAUUAAACCACUGGACAAAACAACUGAAUGACAAUUGCUAAGGCAUACCUACAUUUGCAUAAAGUCUCCUUUUUUUCCACGUGUAGAAGUAACUUAAUAUGCCACGGUACUUCCUGGGAAAUUCUGCGUGCUUAUUAAGCCAGAUACUGCUUUUGCUAAAGGCUUGCCAAGCCAGUAGUUUACACCAUAUUACAACAACAAGCUUAAAAUGUCAAUCAUGCUCAUUUCUCAAGUCUUUUUCUCACUCCCUGGACAUUAGUGGGAUUUUGUGUAAAUAUUUUUCUGUUUCUAUGUCAGUAAAUCUGUCAAAACAUGAUAUUGUGGUAAAAGGCCAAAGACAACUUGCCACUGCCACAGACAUUUCCAGUGACAAUCACUAACAACCUGGCCUGCAAAUACACUUCCCUUUAGCUCAAUCCCUCUCCUUAAUUCUCUGUCUUCUGCUUCUCUAGAGGGGUCUAUUCCCACAGUUUCCCAUUGUAAUAGUUUUUGGCAUAUUACUCUGCACGAUUCCACCCCAGAGGUCUCCCAUAAUUCACUUUUGAUAUCAUUGUUUAGUAGUAGAAUUAGAGGAGGGGUGCACAUUGGGAACAGGCAAUCUGAAUUGGCAGUGGGACAUUAAUACAUUCAUUCUAGUUUGAUAUGAUAGGAUGUGUUUAGUGCAGUCGGGAAUUGUGCAGUUUUAGAGUUUGUGCAGGAUUAGGUUCACCAAUAAAAUAAAAAAAUAUAUAUAUAUU